rnacentral:sRNA from 1 species
UGAAUCCUAGGACCCAGAAUAAGGAUUCUCUAGAGGACAGUGUUUCUACCUCUCCAGACCCAAUUCUGACACUGUCUGCUCCCCCUGUAGUGCCAGGCUUCUGUUGCACAGUUGGAGUGGACUGGAAGUCUCUCACUACUCCGGCGUGCCUCCCCCUUACCACCGACUACUUCCCUGACCGCCAGGGCCUGCAGAAUGACUACACAGAGGGCUGUUAUGAUCUCCUUCCAGAAGCAGACAUCGACAGGUCAGUGUCAGAGAAAAAGGCAGUUGGCUUGGUUUGUGAGGGUUUCGGAUAUAUCCCACACAUGCAUCAGAACACUGGAUUUGUGCUCGCUUCAGCAACACAUAUAUUAAAAUUGGAACGAUAUAGAGAAGAUUAGCAUGGCCGUUAAAUAAAAAAUUAAAAAAAAA